ACUGCGCAAUAAAAAAUAAAUCUGGCCAGGCACCCUGCGGACAACCAUAUAGGGUCCUUUUGUGUAGUCUUUUAGUCAUUACUAUGGAAACAGUUCUACAACGUACAGUCCUUGGGCACAACCUUUAGCCAGCCUUCAGCUGAGCACAGCAAACACAAAACAUAUAAAGAUUACAAACAUUUUUGUUUUAUAAUUGAUCUUGAACUGUAGGAGAUGUCCUCAGACCGAGACGUUAAACUUCCGCCGUAACCGCGAUCGCAAAAAGAAAGCCCAACACAUGACCACACUUUGCAAAAAGGCUUUGCUCAGAAGGAUCAUGAAAUUGGAGCAGAUUUUACUGGGAACACUUUUUCAAAGAGGAAGCAGCCACCUGUAUGCAGGCCCAGGGAGAAAGCCUCAGCUCCUGAUGCAGCUGGAAAGCUACGUGAAGAAGGAGCUGCAGGUCAUCAGCAUAGACCAGCCAAACUUUCAGGAACUGAAACUUGAGGUCUACCGUCAGCUGUGUAGUCAGUGCUUUUAGAACGUACCAGCCUCUUCUUUCUGCCAUCAAAAAGGAAUAUGAAAACACUUUGGAAGCUACACCUGGCCUGACUCUGUGUCUACCUGUGACACCUUUCUGGAGAGGGGCAUCGUCCGAGCUUCUGCUAGCAACAACUUAAUGCCUUUGUGUUAUUUUUGGUCAGCAGCGGUUUGGGCAUUUUUUUGUCUCUCACUUAGUGUCAAAUCAUGAACUUUGACCUUAAAUGAGGCAGUGAGGCCUGCAGAGCUUUAGGUGUUUUUCUGGGUUCUUUUCUGACCUCUGCAGUAAUUUUGAUAGGCCAGUCACUCCAGGGAAGGUUCUCCAAUGUUCCAUUUUUCUCUGUUUGUGGACAAUGGUUCUCACUGUGGUUCUCUGAAGUCCAAAAGCCUUAGACUUUGUUUUUCAUCUGUUCUUGAGUUUUUUUUUUACGUAGGGGCAUGAUGUGUUGCUUUUUGAGACCUUUUAGGUGAUUUCUUGAUGCUAGAGGUCUGGCAGCAAGCAGGCCUGGCUGUUGCUGGUGAAACUGAACCACAAAAAGUUGGUUAAUCAUAGUUAUUGAUUUAACAAGAGGACCAAAUAAAGAUGGGAAUUAUCAGUUUCUUGAAAUCUUGAAAAUCACAUUAAUGUUGCUUUUUAUGGGAGGGGUUCCAGCUGAAGGCACUUCAGGAUAGCUUCCAUCAGUUGUGGGCUGAGUAUGACACCCUGCAGGAGCUCCACAAAAGAAGCAUUGUACAAACCAAGACAAACAUCUCAACCGCUGUGCAGACAGAGGAUAGUGAGUCUCAUGUGCGAAGCCACAACCAGUUAGACCAUAAAGACGAACUGAUUAACAUUGAUGAUGUUUCUAAGAACAGCAGAAUCUGUGCCCUGGAGUCGAGGAAGACCGUGAAGACAGCAGAGUCACAUGAAAAAACACAUGAACAUGUGACUGUGGGUCAGAACAAAGCUGACGGCAGCAGUGAUGACCUCCUCUCUGAGACUCCAACAUGAAGCGGAAUAUUCAGAUACUGAGCUUUUGUUGUCCCAACAAUGUGUUUGUUGUAACAAACCAAAGUACAAAAAAAAAACAAUAUAUAUGUAUAUAUAUAUAUAUAUAUAUAUAUAUAUAGACUCCAGUACACUUUGUUCUUUGGUUUUGUUUUUGUAUUACAGAAUAUACAUAU